UAGGGAAUCUUCCGCAAUGGACGCAAGUCUGACGGAGCAACGCCGCGUGAGUGAAGAAGGAUUUCGGUUCGUAAAACUCUGUUGUUAGAGAAGAACAGCGCAUAGAGUAACUGUUAUGCGUGUGACGGUAUCUAACCAGAAAGCCACGGCUAACUACGUGCCAGCAGCCGCGGUAAUACGUAGGUGGCAAGCGUUGUCCGGAUUUAUUGGGCGUAAAGCGAGCGCAGGCGGUCAAUUAAGUCUGAUGUGAAAGCCCCCGGCUCAACCGGGGAGGGUCAAUGGAAACUGUUUAACUUGAGUGCAGAAGGGGAGAGUGGAAUUCCAUGUGUAGCCGUGAAAUGCGUAGAUAUAUGGAGGAACACCGGUGGCGAAAGCGGCUCUCUGGUCUGUAACUGACGCUGAGGCUCGAAAGCGUGGGGAGCGAACAGG
rnacentral:rRNA from 1 species